rnacentral:lncRNA from 1 species
UUCUACACCAAAAUUCCCCUUAAAAAACUCCUCUUUUUUCUAUCAGAAACCAAAUCCCUACUUUUGAGUCAAAACCACAAAAAACCAUCAAAGAAACCCCUCACAAACUCUCCCUCCCUCUCACACGUACACAUCAACAACCAUACUACAUUAGCUCUUUCACUAACAUAAACAUCAACCUUCAGCAUAUCACUUUUCCGCAAACCUCUAAUCCAUAACUAUACCACCACAUCAAAAUCAAACUCCAUU